GUGAUGAAUAUUGGGCAAUGGGCGAAAGCCUGACCCAGCCACGCCGCGUGAGUGAUGAAGGCCUUCGGGUUGUAAAGCUCUGUGGGGAGGGAAGAAAAAGCGGGAGAGUAACUGCUCUCGUGUUGACGGUACCUCCUUAGCAAGCACCGGCUAACUCUGUGCCAGCAGCCGCGGUAAUACAGAGGGUGCAAACGUUGCUCGGAAUUACUGGGCGUAAAGCGCGUGUAGGCUGACAUGCAAGUCGGGUGUGAAAUCCCAGGGCUCAACCUUGGAACUGCACUCGAAACUGCACGUCUUGAGUACUGGAGAGGGAAGCGGAAUUCCGGGUGUAGAGGUGAAAUUCGUAGAUAUCCGGAGGAACACCAGUGGCGAAGGCGGCUUCCUGGACAGUAACUGACGCUGAGACGCGAAAGCGUGGGGAGCAAACAGGAUUAGAUACCCUGGUAGUCC
rnacentral:rRNA from 1 species